AAAUUGAAGAGUUUGAUCAUGGCUCAGAUUGAACGCUGGCGGCAGGCCUAACACAUGCAAGUCGAGCGGUAGCACAGAGAGCUUGCUCUCGGGUGACGAGCGGCGGACGGGUGAGUAAUGUCUGGGAAACUGCCUGAUGGAGGGGGAUAACUACUGGAAACGGUAGCUAAUACCGCAUAAUGUCGCAAGACCAAAGUGGGGGACCUUCGGGCCUCAUGCCAUCAGAUGUGCCCAGAUGGGAUUAGCUAGUAGGUGGGGUAACGGCUCACCUAGGCGACGAUCCCUAGCUGGUCUGAGAGGAUGACCAGCCACACUGGAACUGAGACACGGUCCAGACUCCUACGGGAGGCAGCAGUGGGGAAUAUUGCACAAUGGGCGCAAGCCUGAUGCAGCCAUGCCGCGUGUGUGAAGAAGGCCUUCGGGUUGUAAAGCACUUUCAGCGGGGAGGAAGGCGUUAAGGUUAAUAACCUUGGCGAUUGACGUUACCCGCAGAAGAAGCACCGGCUAACUCCGUGCCAGCAGCCGCGGUAAUACGGAGGGUGCAAGCGUUAAUCGGAAUUACUGGGCGUAAAGCGCACGCAGGCGGUCUGUCAAGUCGGAUGUGAAAUCCCCGGGCUCAACCUGGGAACUGCAUUCGAAACUGGCAGGCUAGAGUCUUGUAGAGGGGGGUAGAAUUCCAGUGUAGCGGUGAAAUGCGUAGAGAUCUGGAGGAAUACCGGUGGCGAAGGCGGCCCCUGGCCAAAGACUGACGCUCAGGUGCGAAAGCGUGGGGAGCAAACAGGAUUAGAUACCCUGGUAGUCCACGCCGUAAACGAUGUCGAUUUGGAGGUUGUGCCCUUGAGGCGUGGCUUCCGGAGCUAACGCGUUAAAUCGACCGCCUGGGGAGUACGGCCGCAAGGUUAAAACUCAAAUGAAUUGACGGGGGCCCGCACAAGCGGUGGAGCAUGUGGUUUAAUUCGAUGCAACGCGAAGAACCUUACCUGGUCUUGACAUCCACAGAACUUUCCAGAGAUGGAUUGGUGCCUUCGGGAACUGUGAGACAGGUGCUGCAUGGCUGUCGUCAGCUCGUGUUGUGAAAUGUUGGGUUAAGUCCCGCAACGAGCGCAACCCUUAUCCUUUGUUGCCAGCGGUCCGGCCGGGAACUCAAAGGAGACUGCCAGUGAUAAACUGGAGGAAGGUGGGGAUGACGUCAAGUCAUCAUGGCCCUUACGACCAGGGCUACACACGUGCUACAAUGGCAUAUACAAAGAGAAGCGACCUCGCGAGAGCAAGCGGACCUCAUAAAGUAUGUCGUAGUCCGGAUUGGAGUCUGCAACUCGACUCCAUGAAGUCGGAAUCGCUAGUAAUCGUAGAUCAGAAUGCUACGGUGAAUACGUUCCCGGGCCUUGUACACACCGCCCGUCACACCAUGGGAGUGGGUUGCAAAAGAAGUAGGUAGCUUAACCUUCGGGAGGGCGCUUACCACUUUGUGAUUCAUGACUGGGGUGAAGUCGUAACAAGGUAACCGUAGGGGAACCUGCGGUUGGAUCACCUCCUUA
rnacentral:rRNA from 1 species